rnacentral:rRNA from 1 species
UGAGCAAUCUGCCCUUCUCAUCGGAAUAAGCGUUGGAAACGACGUCUAAUGCCGAAUACGACCUCCUUUCGCAUGAUCGGAGGUGGAAAGCUCCGGCGGAGAAGGAUGAGCUCGCGGCCUAUCAGCUAGUUGGUGUGGGUAAUGGCCCACCAAGGCUACGAUCAGUAGCUGGUCUGAGAGGAUGAUCAGCCACACUGGGA